rnacentral:rRNA from 1 species
GACGAACGCUGGCGGCGUGCCUAACACAUGCAAGUCGAACGAGAAUCGAUGGAAAGAGGUUUCGGCCAAUUGAAAUAGAGGACAGUGGCGGACGGGUGAGUAACGCGUGAGCAACCUGCCCGUCAGAGGGGGACAACAGAGGGAAACUUCUGCUAAUACCGCAUGACAUAUACGGGAGGCCUCUUCUUGAUAUCAAAGAUUUAUCGCUGAAGGAUGGGCUCGCGUCUGAUUAGCUAGUUGGUGAGGUAACGGCUCACCAAGGCGACGAUCAGUAGCCGGACUGAGAGGUUGAACGGCCACAUUGGGACUGAGAUACGGCCCAGCCGCCUACGGGAGGCAGCAGUGGGGAAUAUUGGGCAAUGGGCGCAAGCCUGACCCAGCAACGCCGCGUGAAGGAAGAAGGCUUUCGGGUUGUAAACUUCUUUUAUCAGGGACGAAGGAUGUGACGGUAACCAAUGAAUAAGCUCCGGCUAACUUCGUGCCAGCCGCCGCCGUAACAC